CAGGGAGAGAAGACAGGAAAAAACACCUUACGAAUCUCCAUUAAAGAAAUUUACCCAAAACACUAGUCCUAUCACUACAUCUAAACAAGCUGUUGAACCAAUGGAUAUCGGGCCCUUAAGUCCACAGGAGAAGUUAAGAAGGUGUUACAACAACCUCUAUAUGUACUGCACAUCUGAGGACCAUGCAAUAAAAGAAUGUCCUGUCUUACAUCGUCAAAACAGGGUGGGAUCAACUACGAGUCAACGCCAAGGCGAUAAUUGAUUCUGGAGCAACCGCUAACUAAAUAGAUAUGGAUGUACAUUUGUACCUUUCAUAAUAAGAUUUUGUGUUGUUUGCCCUAUUGUGGUGAAUAUAUCAUAAUUAAACAUGUAUUGCUAA